AUCAGGUGUCCGUUUGGACUUAAUAGGGAAUUCAGUACGCCGGUAUCCGGCAAAGCUGAAACGGUCCCGCCACUGUAUGAGGGAGCUCGUUCAAAAUCAUGUCACUGGGAUAAUCCUGGGAAGGCUUGAAUGAAGUUAUGAACUCGAGUCAGGAGAACUGCCUGAUUGA
rnacentral:ncRNA from 1 species